GACGAACCGUGCGAACGUUGUUCGGAAUCACUGGGCUUAAAGGGCGCGUAGGCGGCGGGGUAAGUCUGGUGUGAAAUCUCGGAGCUCAACUCCGAAAUUGCACUGGAUACUGCUCUGCUAGAGGGCUGGAGAGGAGAUCGGAAUUCACGGUGUAGCAGUGAAAUGCGUAGAUAUCGUGAGGAAGACCAGUGGCGAAGGCGGAUCUCUGGACAGCUCCUGACGCUGAGGCGCGAAGGCGAGGGGAGCAAACGGG
rnacentral:rRNA from 1 species